rnacentral:rRNA from 1 species
CAGCAGCCACGGUAAUACGAAGGGUGCAAGCGUUAAUCGGAAUUACUGGGCGUAAAGCGUGCGUAGGCGGUUUGUUAAGUCUGUUGUGAAAUCCCCGGGCUCAACCUGGGAAUGGCAAUGGAUACUGGCAAGCUAGAGUGUGUCAGAGGAUGGUGGAAUUCCCGGUGUAGCGGUGAAAUGCGUAGAGAUCGGGAGGAACAUCAGUGGCGAAGGCGGCCAUCUGGGACAACACUGACACUGAGGCACGAAAGCGUGGGGAGCAAACAGGAUUAGAUACCCCCGUAGUCCCUGUCUCUUAUAC